ACAUUUAUGAACCAUAGAAUGAUUACUCAUAAUUCGGAACUAUGAAGUUCUAAACAUUGAAAUCUGAUCCGUUGGUGUCAAAGCAAUUUAACACCAACGACCAGGAUCAAUAGAAACCGGCGCGCAAGAGCUGUCUUCCCUCAAUCAAAACCACCGCAUCAAUCACAGCUUCAUCUCCCUCACAAUCUCACUCCGUUUCUCAAAACCAAACGAUUCACUCCUCAAUUUCAUUGCGCCAAAGCCACUCGACGAAACCCUAAUUACCCUCCGGGCGGCGCCGAUAGCUUCGUCGAUGAUCCCCGAGCCGCUCCAUAAACUCCGAGAUUGACCGGCCCUAUGGUUUUGAGGACGACGAUGAAGACAGAGACGGAGACGACGAUGAUGAGGAAGAUAAGAGCUUGGAUCUGUUGGUCAGGUUUGUUCAGAGUAGAGUGUUGAAGCGAGCCAGGACCCCGUUGCAAUCCCCACCAAGUUGGAAAACAUUCAUUGUAUACUUGUUAAUCAGAAAUUUUGGUUUCGGAAAAGCUGGGAUUUUUAUAGCUGAAUUGUUGGUGUAGGUGGGGUUUUCUGGUAAUGGGGUGCUAAUGCUGGCGUUUUUGUGGGUGUUGAAGGCAUUAUAUACAAUUUUUUAUGUAUUUGGUUGUUAAGAUGCUUUUAUUGAUUUCAUUUCCAUAUGAACUCAA